ACACUUUCGACGGAGAAUGAUGGCUGCGUGGCUUGUAAUUUGUUUCUGUAUGGUUCUUGUCGCAAAUAGGGGGAUAUCAAGUACGGCAGACAACAAAAGGUUGCUUCUGCACAUGUCGUGGAUAUGGCAGCAGCUAUUCAGACCUUGACUGAACGGCUAGAAGCGAUAACUACAGAAAUGGCGCAGCUUACUGCACAAAACCAGCAACUGGUUAAGACCAUGGCUGCACAGAAUAGUCAACUGGUAUCGGAAGUUCAGAUACUGAAAACUGCAUCGAAUGGUGGUUCGGUGUACACAAGAUGGGGGCGAACAACAUGCACGCAAAAUGGAUCCGAACUUAUUUACACAGGAUAUAUUGGGGGAAACUGGUUAAACAAGAACGGGGCUGCCGAUUACAUUUGCUUGAGCGUUUAGCCAUUAUGGGGCGCAUAUGAUGAUUCUGCUCACCAAUAUCCGAUGAAAAUAUAUGGGACGGAGUAUCAAUUUGGUGAUCAGUUCACCGAUGCUGAAACGCGUUUUUUUGGCCGAAAUCUCCACGACCACGACGCCCCAUGUGCUGUGUGCAGAUCGAGCAGCUCAACCACCGUGAUGAUUCCAGGCCGGAACCAGUGUUACCCGGGCUGGACGAUGGAAUACUGGGGAUACCUUGUGUCUGGUCUUGAUAUCCAUAAGGCACCGACAAAUUACGCUUGUUUGGAUGCAAACGCUGAAUUGGAAGUUGGUGAUGGUAAAAGUGAGGACGGCAGAUUGAUUUAUUUGGUUGAGGCUGCUUGUGGCGCACUAAAGUGUCCACCAUACGUUGAAAACCGUGAGAUCACCUGCGUCGUUUGCUCAAAAUAAUACAUCGUGUAUAUAUUUUCUUCAUUUAAGGUAAAGCGAAAUAUACUUGACUUAAUUAACAUAUUUUUUUUCAUGAAUGAUGGGAAUUACAUAGUUAAAUUAUUAAAACGUCGAUGCUGUCACGGUUGUAUUACAUGCUAAACAAACGCACGCAGGCGUGUAUGUUCAAUUAAAUUUGGUUGCAAUAAUGCCAAACCGUUUUGUUGAUGUUGUGUACCAAUUAAAAAUAAAUCACUAUACAUUUAUUUCUCUUACACUCGACAUAUUUUCAUUUUAUACACUUUCCCCAG